rnacentral:misc_RNA from 1 species
GCGGCCAAAGGAAGAAAUCAUUAAGCAUCUUUUCAAUACAAUCAGAAUACGAAUCAUGAGUCACUUUUAAGUCUCAUCAAGGGCGUCCGGGCAUAUGUAUGUAAUUUUACUAAGAAAAAAGUCAAAACAACUGAAAUUCAUUCAACAGUGAUUCUAGAACAAAUGUUCACAUAGCACUUUCGGUUAUGAACUAAAUAGAACUUAAUUCCCUAUAACUCACUACUUGAUAUACUGAGAAAGCCACUUGAAACCAUCUCCAUAGCC